UACGAAGGGGGGCUAGCGUUGCUCGGAAUCACUGGGCGUAAAGGGUGCGUAGGCGGGUCUUUAAGUCAGGGGGUGAAAUCCUGGAGCUCAACUCCAGAACUGCCUUUGAUACUGAGGAUCUUGAGUACGGGAGAGGUGAGUGGAACUGCGAGUGUAGAGGUGAAAUUCGUAGAUAUUCGGAAGAACACCAGUGGCGAAGGCGGCUCACUGGUCCGGUACUGACGCUGAGGUGCGAAAGCGUGGGGAGCAAACAGG
rnacentral:rRNA from 1 species